AUUCUUUCGCAGAGGCAAUAUUGUAGCCUAUGAGGUUUAUCCGAGGCGCGAUCAUUGCUGGUUGAAAAACUUUACCUAAUACCCCGCCAGGAUGACUUGAAAUACAGUCAGCCUUGGCAAUUUUUUUUGCCAGCUUCUGUGGAAG
ensembl:snRNA U4 U4 spliceosomal RNA